CUGUGGUUAGUACACCUAGCUAUGCUGCUUUUGCCCUGGGGUCUUCCAGCCUUGUGGCUGGUGGCUGGGUGCCUUCUACUGGUGCUGUGCAGAGGCUUUCCCUAAGGCUGCUGUGAGCCUGUAGGGUUUCCCCCUAGGCUACUAAGCUGGGUCUCUGGAACUCUCUCCAGCCCCUGUCCUCUCCGAGAUCUCUGGCAAUCCCUAGUCUCACGGGGCGGGCAACGGCAGCUGGGGGUCGCCCCGCCCUCUGGGCUUCUCUCCGGGCCUCUCUCGGGAGCCCUGAAUGCUGGGCGUGGCCCCUCUGCUAAUGGCAGACAGAGAGUUUUGUCUGCUGCCUGGCGGAACUCCGGCACUUCCCCUCCGGGUCGCAGAACCGGCCUUUGAAAGUUCCCCCCGCCCCGGUCCUCUCCGAGAUCUCUGGCAAUCCCUAGCCCCACGGGGCGGGCAACGGCAGCUGGGGGUCGCCCCGCCCUCUGGGAUUCUCUCUGGGCCUCUCCCGGAGCCAUGAAUCCUCAGCGUGGCCCCUCUGCUAACGGCAGACAGAGAGUUUUGUCUGCUGCCCGGGCGGAGCUCCGGCGCUUCCCCUCCGGGUCACCGGCAACGGCAGCUGGGAGACCUCCGUACCCUCCGUGACUCUCUCUGGGACCCAAUGGCGGGGAGAGACUCUCCCCGCGGGCUCAGGUGUGCAACUCCAAAGUUUCCCUCUGCGUUUAGGAGUAAUUGCGGGGGGUUUAGGUAGGGUUCUGGUCACCUGUUUCCACUGUCGCUCCUCUGUUGUGUUCUCGCUCCUGCCCUAGAUGUGUGUGGAUCCUCUGGGGGCGUCCGUUGGAAGAAAGCCGCUUGCGGGUACUAGGCUGCCCAUCGGGGUCAGAGAGUUUUCACCUAUUUCCACAUCCUCCCGGAGGAAAGUCCGUCCGCCUUCUGAUGUAUAGUCACGUGGGUGUCUCAGACGUCCUGAGAUGCUGUCUGGAUAUCCUUUGUCAAGCGAUAAGUGUCCAAAUAAUUGUAGACUCGAAGGGCGAGAGACAAAGAGGACUACUCACGGCGCCAUCUUGGAUCUUCUCCGGUGGGAUAUUUUGCUCGUGUCCAUGGCAUCAGGCAGCUUAUAAAGGCAUUUCUACAGAAGAUAGAAUGUCAGUGCCAAAUUAUAAACCUGGGGGCUGGGAUGGAUACCGCCUUCUGGACAUUAAAGGUUUGUACAGAUUUUUUUAGGGUCUUCUAUCAGGUCAGUCAUGUGGCAGUAAUGGGUAUGUGCAUUUCCCCAGAUUUCUCCAGAUGUACACCAAGAUAAAUUAGAGUGUGUGGGCAUAACCCGACCUGCAUAUCUGUUUUGUCCCUAAUCAGCUCACCUGAUAAGAUGGUCUUUAGUCAUCAGAGCUCCCAGCCUUUCUCUUACUCAAGCGAGAAGUCGGUGGCAUCAACAUGGUCUUAGUAUUAAACGUUUGCCUCUGCAUUCUUCAUUUAGGAUAAGAUAACUAACAUUUCUGAGGUGUUUUUACAUACAUGGCCUCACGAAUUAACAUGAGAUCUCUGUGAGAGGGGAGAGUUUUACACAGAUGGGGAAAGUGGGGCUGCGAGAGCUUGUGUCUUUCCCCAAAUUGGAUAUCUGGUGGCACUGGAAUGUGGAACAAACAUUGGAGCCCAGCUCAUCGAACUGCAGACUCCUUCCCCUUUCCUCUACACACAGCCCUGUGGGUGUUCCAGCGGUUCUUUUCUGUAGGUUGAUUGUGCCUGUGUAACACGGGGACCAUGGUGUACCAGAAGGAACUGGAAGAGAAUGCAGCGUAAGCGAAUGUGCAGUGUCAGUGUUCACAGGGGCCGCUGGAGAAAUCCCUCCUUUGGGCCUGACACCUUUUUGACUGGUCCCAUGGUUUGGUUUUUUCCCUGUCUUGCAAGUGAGUUAAUAAUUAAUAAAUGUGAGAUUUUUAUUUCUGAGCAAGGUACACAGAGGCUUACGUGCUCCUUCCAAGGAAAAGGCUGUCUGGCAGUAGUGAGGAAGGAGAGUAGCACAGGGUCUGAAAGUCUUUUGUGGAAGUUUUUUGUUUUGUUUGAUAAUCAUAUUGGUCUGAAGGGAUUUUUUAAAAUCUAAAGUUCCUCCUUUUUUGAAAAACAAUUAUUAUGUUUGCUCUUUUGGAGCCGAGGUUGCAUGGGCCAAAUCCAGCCUGCCACCUAUUUUUAGAAAUCAAAUUUUAUGGGAUGCAGCCACUCCCAUUUAUUUCCAUAUUCUCUGUGGCUGCUUUAGCACUGUGACCGCGGAGUUCAGCAGUUAUGACAGACCGUCUGGCCUUCACAGGCUAAAAUACUUAUUUCUGACUCUUUACAGAAAGUUUGCUAAUCCCUGUUUUAGAAAUAUAUGUGCUCCUAUAAAAGAGUGAGGAAAAUGUUGUCUGUUGGUCUUGUUGUCUCAUGCACCUCCCACCUUGGAUGGUCCCCUGGCUGCCCCAGCACAGGAUUAGCUGUGAGUCAAGGCUUUCUGCUGUCACUACUAUAUGAGUUUGGUCUGUAUGAUCUCAGGGGCCCAGGACUGGAGGGUUGAAGACUCCCAUCUUCGGGCAGCGGGCAAGAAUAGGGCAAGGGAGAGCUGGUAUUGUCCCAAACAGAGAAUAAGGAGUGAGUGAAACUCUUAAGGGGCCUCAGUUGUUUGGUGUCUCUUGAAUUCUGUUUCUACAAACUGAAAGGUCAAGUACAUAGGGGAAGGAUUGUCAAUUUUGCUGGCCUGUGAAACGGUCAGCCAUGUUGGAUCUGCUUUGAGACUAAGUGGUACCCUUCCUCCUGGCUGCUCCUGGCUGCCCUCUGGUACUUAUAGUCAGUCUUGGGUGUCUCCCCUGCCUCCUUGAGACGUGUGAGCUACUUGGGAGUGGAGUGUCAGAAGGGCCUAGAGAAUCACAGACUAAAAAGUGGAAGUAUCACUUCCCACAGCCAUUUUGCCCUUUUCUGAAAGCCGAGAAAGAGGAUGUCUGUUUCUUAAAAGCUCCAGGUGUGCCUUUUGGAAGCUUCCCUUCCACAGUGCCCUCUUAUUCAGAAUCAUUGGGAGGAUCAAGUGAGCUACUGCAGGGAAAGCUCUUUACAAAGUCAGAAGACCCAUUUGAGUUGUAGGACUCUAUGCUAUCUGUCAUUCAUUUGCUUUUAAUUGCUCUCUUUGUCUUCUGGAAUUUUAGACUAUCUUUAACUUUCCAUACCCUGUGAGUAAAAGUUCUUGAAAGGUCUUGUAGAAUUUCCUAGAGAAAGUCAGGAAACCCCUUAAUGGGUUUCACUCACUCCUUAUUCUUUGUUUGUGACAAUACCGGCUCUCCCGUGCCCUAUUCUUGCCCACUGCCCGAAGAUGGGAGUCUUCAACGCUCCAGUCCUGGGCCCCUGAGAUCAUACAGAUCAAGUUCAUGUAGCAGUGGCAGCAGAAGGCCUUGACUCGCAGCUAAGCCUCUGCUGGUGCAGCCAGGGAACCACGCCAGGUGGGAGGUGCGAUUUCCACACAUGCUCUAAACACGUCCUCCACGGAUCUUCAAAUAGAUUACAUAGCCCUACUCUGCUGAUAGGCGGGAGCUCCUCUGAUGUCAGGAAACUGUCUUGUUUAUUCCUCCCCCCACCCUCCGCCACUGCCUCCCUCGUACCUUCCUUUCCUUCCUCUCUUCUCUCUCUCUUUCUCUUGCCCCAUCCUUCCCUCUCUCCCUCCCUCUCUUCCUUCCUCCUCCCCCACCCCUCCAGAUCCCCUAGGACUUUAACUGAGGACUAGUGUCUGCAUAGGGUGGGGGAGCUGGAUCUCACAUUUCUGACACUUGCCCUUAGGGGUCACCUUCCUACUAGGAAAUGCUUGCUCAUGAUUUCCAUUCCCAUCAUGCUGUCCCAUCAGGGGGUCUGCUGCCCCUCCAUACUGCUCUCCAUCUCUUACUACUGUCUACAUAAAUGGUUCUCUCUCCUGCCCAGUUGCUCAGGGCAGAAACAAGGGUGCCAUCCUUACUCCUCCUUUUUCUUUAUCCCACCCUCUAUUGACACCACACCAGGUUCUGGAUAUCAGCAACUUUCUUUUUAAAUAAGUAGUUCUGUAUUUCUGGAAUAUAAGCACAGAUGGGAGCAGGGAUGUUAAAAGAGUACUAGGCCAGAAGGUGGGCAGGUGGGCCAGGUUGUGGAGCACCCAGCAUCUUAGCUCAAUCUUAGAGGUGGGAAGAGCUGCUGCAGGCAACAUGAAGUGUGUCGUUGAAAGAGAUCAGAAAGGGAUGUUGUUAGAGUCUGUGCAGUUGGGGACAGAGCGGAAGAGGAGAGGAUGCCUUCUAGGAUAGUCAGCAGGCAGGGCUGAGUGACUGAUCAAACAGGGUGGAGACGGAGAGAAUUCUAGGAUGACCAGUGAGUGACUGUGGGGAGGAGGGGAUAGUACCACCCAGCUAGGGAAGCAGAAGGGGGAAGCAGGGCCGUGUGUGUGUGUCUCUAUGUGUGAGGUUUUCACAGUUUUUUUUUUUUUACUGCAGCUCACAGUAAAAAAUAAAUGUAUAUCCCAAUCUAGCACCCACAUCUAUGUACUGAUGUCUAAAUAAUAAGGGCACACACAUGGUGCUUACUAGGUGCAGGCCCUGUUCUCUCACUCCUGUAUUUCCUCAUUAAUCCUCACAACCCCACGAGGUGGUAUCAUUUUCUCUACUUUUCAAAUGAGGAAGCCUUGGCUCAGGGAGUUUAGUGACUUUCCCAAGGCCUCAGAGUGAACAAGUGGUGGAGCUGGGAUUUGAACCCUGUCCGCCCGGGCUGCAGAGUCCCUGUCCUUUACCACCCCAGUAUACUCCACUGUCAGAGAAAAAAAUAAAUAUAUUACAAAAUAGUACUUACCCUCACCUCAUGUGAUGCUUUCUGAUAUUUGCUAUUUUAUUUCAUUUCAUCCAAAAGAUUCUUGUCCAUACCCACUACACUGAUUUCCUGACUCUCUCUAAUUGGUCUCAAGCUGCUUCCUGUUACAUCCUACGUCCAGAGUGCCUCCUGCUCCUCCCCACUCCAUCCCAGUGGACGCUUCCCCAGUUCUGGCUGCCCAUUACUUCUUGCCUAGGUGACCACAGUAACCUCCUAAUUUUUUGCGCCAUCUGUUCCUCAUACUGAGACCAAAGUAAUUUAGAAAAUGCAUUUCUGACCAUAUCAUCCCCUGAUUUAAAAUCCUUAAAUACCCCAUUGCUCCUCGGGCCUUGGUACUUGGUCUGUGAGGAUGAUCAGUGAAUAUAUGACUGAAUAAAUAAUUAUAAAGAUAACUGUGUUUUUUCUCAGGAUGAGGGUCUUCUCCCAAGGAAAUAUUUUGAAGUUGACUUUCCGGUGAUAGUCACGAGAAAGCUACACAGCAUCAAGUAAGUGUGGCUUUGGCCAGAAGAAAGAGCCUGGUAGAAUUCAGAACCGGCCUUCAGUAGACAGCAGGUCUGAGUGCCAGAGACCUCAUUUUAGGGCCCUGCUCUCCUCACUUGCUUUCUUGCCCCGAGACCCUCAUUCCAGUGUGUCUUGCAGUCUUCAAAAUGAAAAAUACCCUCCCUUGUGACUCUUCUCUCCAUUAAUGUAACUUCUCUGAACACUUAAAAAAUGACCUAUCAUAGUUUAGUAAUCUGAAUUAAAAUUCACAUAAUGUGUAUUUUGUUUACUUCUUUAUCCCAGGGAACAGAAAGGUACCUGGUCCAGAAAAGAUAUGUAGUAAAUAUUUUUUGAAUGAAUGAAUGAAUGGGAAACUGAACUUAAUCAUUUAUUAUAUAUGAGAUAUGUGGGGGCCAUUCUGAGUCGAGGUUUCAAGGAGUUUGCAAAGUUGUAGAUGAUGAGUUUGCUCAUCUUUGCCGAGAGCUUUGCGUGUCAAAUGCUUCUCUUGGAUUGUCUCAUUCAAUCCUCAGAGCAGACUCAUGAAUUAGUGCUAUUAUUAGCCCCUUCUUACAGAUGAGGAAACUGAGGCUCAAAGACGUUAAUUUGCCUAAAGUCACCUGGCUAGGAAGGGGUGGAGCUGAGCUUUAAACCCUGACUUCAAGCCCAAGGUCAAGGUUUCUCAGUACAGUCGUGUGUCCCCUAACAGUAACAGGGAUGCGUUCUGAGAAAUGCAUUGCUAGGUGAUUUCAGUGUCAUGUGAACGUCGUGGAUUACACUUACACAGUCCCAGAUGGUGUAGCCUACUAUACAUCUGGGCUGUAUGGUGCUAAUAUUGAAGGACCACUAGCACGUAUGUGGUCUGUGGUUGACUGAAACGUCAUUAUGUGGUGUGUGACUUAGUUUUAACCUGUACUCCCUCCUUUUAAAAUUAUUUAAAUAAAAUUUUAAUUCUUAUAUUUAAACAUUUUAAUAAACGCAAAAGUUUCUACCUGUCCUUUAGAGAUGUCUAAUCCUCACAAACUGGAAAUAUUUUUCAAGUUUUUUCUUUUCUAGUUUAUCCUAGGAAAAUAAGUUUUUUACCCCUUUCCAAAUAUAAAAUUGCAUUUUACAUUAAAUAGGCUUUUUGGAUAAUAUAUGGCAAUUCUGAUGCUCUGGGAACUGCAAAGUACUACUAAGCUUGUUAAAACUCUGAGUGAAGUAAGAGUAAGUAGGCUCUAAAUCAAGGCCAGACACGGUUUCCUGGGGUGAAAA
ensembl:lncRNA